rnacentral:rRNA from 1 species
AAACCUGUCUCAGUUCGGAUUGGAGUCUGCAACCCGACUCCAUGAAGCUGGAUUCGCUAGUAAUCGCGCAUCAGCCACGGCGCGGUGAAUACGUUCCCGGGCCUUGUACACACCGCCCGUCAAGCCAUGGAAGCCGGGAGUGCCUGAAGUCCGUAACCGCGAGGAUCGGCCUAGGGUAAAACUGGUGACUGGGGCUAAGUCGUAACAAGGUAUC